rnacentral:lncRNA from 1 species
UCUCUCUUAGCUUCGCCCGGUCCGCCCGCCGGCGCUGUCCUCCUGGUGAUGGGCGACAGCUGUCUGUGUGUGCGAGUCACGGAACCCGCCGGUCAGACGCACGGCCUCAUCACCCGAUACAGAGUUGAGUGGAGCUCUUCAUCAUGUCUUCAUCCUCUGUGUGGCACCGGAUUCAUCACAGACACCAGAAACCCAGAGUUCAGCAUCACGGGACUCCAGACUGUAAGACACAAACAAACUCAUCAAUAUAUAAUAUAUAUAGAUGUGAUAUUUCUGACUCGUGUGUGUGUGUGUGUGUGUGUGUGUAGGGUGUGCAGUAUUACGUGCGGGUCAGUGCGUAUAACGUCAGAGGUUGGGGUUUGUUUGUGAGCAGCAGCCCCCCGUGUGUCGCCCCGUCCAGCUGGAGCUCAUGCUGCGGUGUGACGGUGAGACGCAGGAAUCCGGCCGCAGCCGUCAGGAGAAUCUCACAGCAGAUCAGAGAGCCGGUGCUCAGCGGUACACA